rnacentral:rRNA from 1 species
UUCUCCUACGGGGGGCAGCAGUAGGGGAUAUUGCACAAUGGGGGGAACCCUGAUGCAGCGACGCCGCGUGGGCGAUGGAGGGCUUCGGCAUGUAAAGCCCUGUCAGCAGGGAAGAAAAUGACGGUAACUGACUAAGAAGCCCCGGCUAAAUACGUGCCAGCAGCCGCGGUAAUACGUAUGGGGCAAGCGUUAUCCGGAUUUACUGGGUGUAAAGGGAGCGUAGGCGGGCUGGCAAGGCUGAUGUGAAA